rnacentral:misc_RNA from 1 species
CGAGCGUCAUUAUCAACCCUCAAGCCCUGCUUGGUAUUGGGUGCCGUCCCUACGGGGCGCGCUCUAAAGAUCUUGGCGGUGGUGUUGAACCUCAAGCGUAGUAAUUUUAUUUAGCUUUACGGUUUCGGCACCGCUCUGCCCCUAGAGACUAUCACCUCAAGGUUGACCUCGGAUCAGGUAGGGAUACCCGCUGAACUUAA